AACGAACGCUGGCGGCAUGCCUAACACAUGCAAGUCGAACGAGACCUUCGGGUCUAGUGGCGCACGGGUGCGUAACGCGUGGGAACCUGCCUUUAGGUUCGGAAUAACUCAGAGAAAUUUGAGCUAAUACCGGAUAAUGUCUUCAGACCAAAGAUUUAUCGCCUUUAGAUGGGCCCGCGUUGGAUUAGCUAGUUGGUGGGGUAAAGGCCUACCAAGGCGACGAUCCAUAGCUGGUCUGAGAGGAUGAUCAGCCACACUGGGACUGAGACACGGCCCAGACUCCUACGGAGGCAGCAGUGGGGAAUAUUGGACAAAUGGGCGAAAGCCUGAUCCAGCAAUGCCGCGUGAGUGAUGAAGGCC
rnacentral:rRNA from 1 species